rnacentral:rRNA from 1 species
UACGGCUCAGUAACACGUGGAUAACCUGCCCUAAGGAAGGGGAUAACCUCGGGAAACUGAGGAUAAUACCCUAUAGGAUACCGAUGGUGGAAUGCCCGGUAUCCCAAAGCUCCGGCGCCUUAGGAUGGAUCUGCGGCCGAUUAGGUCGUUGUUGGGGUAACGGCCCAACAAGCCGAUAAUCGGUACGGGUUGUGGGAGCAAGAGCCCGGAGUUGGAUUUUGAGACACGAAUCCAGGCCCUACGGGGCGCAGCAGGCGCGAAAACUUUACAAUGCAGGCAUCCGUGAUAAGGGAACCUGGAGAGCCAGUUCUUGCAGGUCGUUCAGGAGUUUGAAACACACUAUAA